rnacentral:sRNA from 1 species
UUUUCCUAAUCAGGGUUCUGCAUCGCCUCGAACCCGCAGGCCAUGGCGGGGUCUCCUGAGGAAGCAGGGGCUGGGGUGCAGGGUGAAGCUGCUCGUGCCGGCCAGCGCCUUGAAAGGCAAAGAACAAGAGAAGACCUCAGAUGUCAAGUCCAUUAAAGCUUCAAUAUCCGUACAUUCCCCACAAAAAAGCACUAAAAAUCAUGCCUUGCUGGAGGCUGCAGGACCAAGUCAUGUUGCAAUCAAUGCCAUUUCUGCCAACAUGGACUCCUUUUCAAGUAGCAGGACAGCCACACUUAAGAAGCAGCCAAGCCACAUGGAGGCCGCUCAUUUUGGUGACCUGGGCAGAUCUUGUCUGGACUACCAGACUCAAGAGACCAAAUCAAGCCUUUCUAAGACCCUUGAACAAGUCUUGCACGACACUGUUGUCCUCCCUUACUUCAUUCAAUUCAUGGAACUUCGGCGAAUGGAGCAUUUGGUAAAAUUUUGGUUAGAGGCUGAAAGUUUUCAUUCCACAACUUGGUCACGAAUAAGAGCACACAGUCUAAACACAGUGAAGCAGAGCUCACUGGCUGAGCCUG